GGAGCGGUAACACGGUCGGUUUUCAAACGGCCUGUCGUGCCAGGGCUCGCGGGUUCGAGCCCGGUCCGCUCCGCCA
rnacentral:tRNA from 6 species